rnacentral:rRNA from 1 species
GACGAACGCUGGCGGCGUGCUUAACACAUGCAAGUCGAACGAUGAAGCCGGAGCUUGCUCUGGUGAAUUAGUGGCGAACGGGUGAGUAACACGUGAGUAACCUGCCCUUGACUCUGGGAUAACUGCGGGAAACUGUAGCUAAUACCGGAUACGACCCUCGGAGGCAUCUCCUGGGGGUGGAAAGAAUUUCGGUCAAGGACGGACUCGCGGCCUAUCAGCUAGUUGGUGAGGUAAAGGCUCACCAAGGCGACGACGGGUAGCCGGCCUGGGAGGGUGGCCGGCCACACUGGGACUGAGACACGGCCCAGACUCCUACGGGAGGCAGCAGUGGGGAAUAUUGCACAAUGGGCGCAAGCCUGAUGCAGCAACGCCGCGUGAGGGAUGACGGCCUUCGGGUUGUAAACCUCUUUUAGCAGGGAAGAAGCGAAAGUGACGGUACCUGCAGAAAAAGCACCGGCUAACUACGUGCCAGCCGCCGCGGUAA